rnacentral:rRNA from 1 species
UACAGAGGGUGCGAGCGUUGUCCGGAAUCACUGGGCGUAAAGGGCGCGUAGGCGGCCCGGCAAGUCAAUGGUGAAAGCUCAGGCUCAACUCUGAGUCGGCCACUGAUACUGCGGGGCUCGAGUCUGGUAGAGGCAGAUGGAAUUCCGGGUGUAGCGGUGGAAUGCGUAGGAGAUCCGGAAGGACACCGGUGGCGAAGGCGGGUCCUGCUGGGGCCAGUACUGACGCUGGAGGGCGCG